rnacentral:rRNA from 1 species
GUAGUCGAUGGGAAACAGGUUAAUAUUCCUGUACUUGGUGUUACUGCGAAGGGGGGACGGAGAAGGCUAUGUUGGCCGGGCGACGGUUGUCCCGGUUUAAGCGUGUAGGCUGGUUUUCCAGGCAAAUCCGGAAAAUCAAGGCUGAGGCGUGAUGACGAGGCACUACGGUGCUGAAGCAACAAAUGCCCUGCUUCCAGGAAAAGCCUCUAAGCAUCAGGUAACAUCAAAUCGUACCCCAAACCGACACAGGUGGUCAGGUAGAGAAUACCAAGGCGCUUGAGAGAACUCGGGUGAAGGAACUAGGCAAAAUGGUGCCGUAACUUCGGGAGAAGGCACGCUGAUAUGUAGGUGAAGUCCCUCGCGGAUGGAGCUGAAAUCAGUCGAAGAUACCAGCUGGCUGCAACUGUUUAUUAAAAACACAGCACUGUGCAAACACGAAAGUGGACGUAUACGGUGUGACGCCUGCCCGGUGCCGGAAGGUUAAUUGAUGGGGUUAGCGCAAGCGAAGCUCUUGAUCGAAGCCCCGGUAAACGGCGGCCGUAACUAUAACGGUCCUAAGGUAGCGAAAUUCCUUGUCGGGUAAGUUCCGACCUGCACGAAUGGCGUAAUGAUGGCCAGGCUGUCUCCACCCGAGACUCAGUGAAAUUGAACUCGCUGUGAAGAUGCAGUGUACCCGCGGCAAGACGGAAAGACCCCGUGAACCUUUACUAUAGCUUGACACUGAACAUUGAGCCUUGAUGUGUAGGAUAGGUGGGAGGCUUUGAAGUGUGGACGCCAGUCUGCAUGGAGCCGACCUUGAAAUACCACCCUUUAAUGUUUGAUGUUCUAACGUUGACCCGUAAUCCGGGUUGCGGACAGUGUCUGGUGGGUAGUUUGACUGGGGCGGUCUCCUCCUAAAGAGUAACGGAGGAGCACGAAGGUUGGCUAAUCCUGGUCGGACAUCAGGAGGUUAGUGCAAUGGCAUAAGCCAGCUUGACUGCGAGCGUGACGGCGCGAGCAGGUGCGAAAGCAGGUCAUAGUGAUCCGGUGGUUCUGAAUGGAAGGGCCAUCGCUCAACGGAUAAAAGGUACUCCGGGGAUAACAGGCUGAUACCGCCCAAGAGUUCAUAUCGACGGCGGUGUUUGGCACCUCGAUGUCG